GCAUGCUGUCUCAGACUAGCCAUGCACGUCUAAGUACAAACUAAAUGAUGGUGAAACUGCAAAUGGCUCAUUACAACGGUUAUGAUGUACCCGGGAGUUCCGACGGAUAUUUCCAGUAACACUAGAACUAAUACAUGUCCCUGCGUUUAUUAGUUUCGCACAGUCCGUCGCUGAGUCAUGGUAAACAGUUGAUCGACUCGACGUCCCGGAACAGUUUCCGCCCCAUCAGCUUCGAUGGUUGGGUAUUGGCCUACCAUUGCAACAACGGGUAACGAGGAAUUAGGGUUUGAUUUCGGAGAGGGAGCCUGAGAAACGGCUACCACAUCUACGGAUGGCAGCAGGCGCGCAAAUUACCCAAUGCAGACACUGUGAGGUAGUGACGAGAAAUAAUAAAGCGGGACUUCUGUUUCGCUAUUAUAAUGAGGAAUAACCAAAGGUCAUUCCGAUUAGCAACUGAUGGGAAAGUCUGGUGCCAGCAGCCGCGGUAAUACCAGCGUCAG
rnacentral:rRNA from 1 species